rnacentral:lncRNA from 1 species
UUGAUGCACGUUCUUCCAUUUUUGUACUUAAGCAUUUCUUCGGUUUUCUUUGAUUAUUUUUAUGUUUUAAUGUGUUUUCAUAAUUUAUUUUAUUUUUGCACUUAUUUAAUUUUCGUAUUUAAUUUUCAGUAUUAGCAGCUUUCGUAAGAAAAAUCAUAUCUUGAGCUAGGAGUAUCGGAUUGAGACGUGCUACCAGCCGAUGGAAAGCUAAGAAAAAUAUCUACAACUUUUGUUCAGAAGUCGAGAGCUAAAUCAAAC